rnacentral:rRNA from 1 species
CAAACGGGUGAGGAAUACAUGGGUAACCUACCCUUGAGAAGGGAAUAACCCGCCGAAAGGUGAGCUAAUACCCUAUACGCUAUCUAUUUUUAACGAAAAAGAUAAGGAAAGCCAGGUCGAGGACUUGGUACUCAAGGGAGGGGCUCAUGUCCUAUCAGCUUGUUGGUGGGGUAACGGCCUACCAAGGCUACGACGGGUAGCUGGUCUGAGAGGAUGAUCAGCCACACUGGCACUGAGAUACGGGCCAGACUCCUACGGGAGGCAGCAGUGAGGAAUAUUGCGCAAUGGGCGAAAGCCUGACGCAGCGACGCCGCGUGGGGAUGAAGGUUUUCGGAUUGUAAACCCCUUUCAUGAGGAAAGAUAAAGUGGGUAACCACUUAGACGGUACCUCAAGAAGAAGCCACGGCUAACUUCGUG